CGUUUUGCCUUCCCUUGGCCGAUCUCCAACGUCCCGUGAACCUCCUUGAUCAUCAUAAUCAUCCAAUGGACGUCUUUUGAUAACCAUCAAGAAGCCAUCAAGUGUCUCUUGACCCGUAAGCAUCUCAUCUAGCAAUUCGGAGGCCAUUUGGAUUGUAUCAAGUUGUGCUAUUGAUUGUAGGUUGGAUGAACUUUUAGAGUCCGGAGUUGAUCCUCCUCCUCCUCCUACUUUCAUGAUAGUUUUAUUUUGUAUAUUCAUACUACGACGUAGAUUUUGGCACCGUCUAGUACUUUUUUAAUUUUAGUGACUCUUGUACUGAUUUUAUCAAAUCUUGAGGG
rnacentral:lncRNA from 1 species